CCCAGGGCCGACCGCGCAGGUCG
rnacentral:miRNA from 1 species